rnacentral:misc_RNA from 1 species
AAGAGUUUAGCCUCAGCAUUACAUUUGACAACCCGAGAUUAAAAUCAAACAUGUUGAUAAAGUUUAUUUCAUUUCCAACUAUAUAUAUUUUAAUGUGGAUAAGAUAUCAUAAAACUCGUUGACAAUUAAAUGUAUUUUAACAUAUAUACAAUAUGUUAUAAAUUACUGUCAAAGUACACGUAAAGAACUACUAUUGAGAUGUUCAUGAAAGCAGUCAAGGUUGGCAGAACGUGACUCAAUGGUAAAGGAAUGUCUGAAUGGAACAGUAAAUAUGACUUCCAUAACAUCAGUUCCUUUGACACAAGAAAAUCCUCCUCUAGUAAAGAAACUUAUCACAGAAACCGAAAAGCAUGUUACGACGAUUGCUACGAUUCCUCCGCCGGCCGGAAUGAUUCGACCUUUGGUUACAAUUGCGGGAACGCAAACGUCGGUUUCUUCGUCUGCUCCUAUGAUCAAUCUGACAAUUAGUAAUGGUGAAAUAAGAACAAAUCAGUCAAUUCCACCAUCCGUUGCAAUGGUUACAGUUACAAGAGAUUUCAGAGAUAUCAGUUCUGCAACAACAAUUCAGAAACCUAUAAUUGUAACAGUCUCUGGAGCCCCAGGUACAAUUACAACAAACAAACCUCAAUUAACAACUGUAACAAAUGUCAUUACAACUCCAAUAGUGGUUGCACCUCACACAUCAGGAUUGUCCACACUUCCACUUGAUAAAUCUGCUGUUUCUAAUAUUGCUGCAGCUAAUACUGUGCUAAAUCAAACAACCCUUCGAGCUACAUUGCCUGCAGUGCCUGCAGUUGCAAAUAAUACUUCCAUACCAGUUGUAGUUGUUCCAUCAAAUGCAUCUAAAUCAGCAGUGCUAUCAUCAUCAUCCAAUAAUCCAUCUCAGUCACCACUUUUAAUUGUAGCCACUAGUUCACCUGUUUCAGCUGCUGUUGCAACUACUGUAACCUCCUCUAGUUCAGGCUCUUUUCCACCAACUUUAGUACCUGUUACAUCAGUUACUAUGUCAUCUGGAUUAAGGACAUCAGUUCCUUUGCCUAUUACAGUAACAACACCUGUUGUUGCUAUUACAAAUCAUUCUGCUCCAUUAAUUCCACCAACUUUAACUCCUGUUUCUUCUCAACCUAAAUCUUAUCCUGUGACAUCAGUUACAUCAUCAUCAGUUUCUUUUUCAAAUACAAUUACAACUGUGAAAACAGACCCUUGUAGUCCAGAUUUUGACCCGAUUCAAGCUAUGGAUUGGAAAGAUGGUGUAGCUACUUUGCCAGGAAGUAAUCUUAAGUUCAAAAUAAAUGAAUUUGGAACAUUAGAAAUGAUAAAUGAAGAUUGGACAUCAGAUUUAUCUCUUCAAGUACUUAACCAGAAUACUAAGGAAGAAAUUAAUGAUAUUUCAAAAGAAUGUAAAGACUUAGAUAAAAAUCAAGUUAGGUCUGUUUUAGUUAAGAAAAUCGAGCCAAAAACUACUACAACUUCAGAUAACAUCAAGCAGACUGUUAUUGAAGUUGUCAGUGUUGCACCAGUAGAAAAGCCUGAUGAUAUAUGUCGAUGUGAAAAUUGUGGAUGUUAUGGUUUAAUAAGUGAAUUUCAUAAAUCUGGACGAUUCUGUAGUCAAUCGUGUAUGUCCAGCUAUUCAACCAAGGGUGGAGAAAAAAAUAAAACUUUAUUACCAUUAAAGAAGAAGAAGAAAAAACAAAUAUAUACCCAAUCAUCAGAAGAACCUCCCAGAAAAGAGAUUAAACUUAAUGUUAAAGUAGAAGAUAAUACCAAAUCUUCAGACAAAACAGAAAGAAAUAAUUUGGGCUUUUCAUGGACAACAUAUUUGGAAAAAGAGAAAGCAGUUGCUGCACCAAUAAAACAAUUUCGUGAUUAUCAAUCAAUUCCUACAUACAAGAAUGGUUUUAAAGUUGGCAUGAAACUUGAAGGUUUGGAUCCAAAACAUCCUUCCAUGUUUUGUGUUUUGAGUGUUGCUGAAGUCUGUGGUUUUCGAAUACGAUUACAUUUUGAUGGCUAUUCUCAUUGUUAUGACUUCUGGCUAAAUGCUGAUUCUAUUGAUAUUUUUCCUGUGGGAUGGUGUGAGAAAACUGGUCAUCAACUUCAUCCACCUAAAGGCUUUACUUCUCAAGAGUUUAAUUGGAAUCAUUACUUACAAAUCAGUAAAGCUCAAGCAGCACCAAAACAUUUGUUUGCUUGUAAAAAUUUACAGACUGUGACACCACAUGGAUUCAGAGUGGGAAUGAAAUUGGAAGCUGUUGAUAGAAAAGAUACAUCUCUUGUAUGUGUUGCUUCAGUAACAGAUGUCAUGGAUAACAGAUUUCUUAUUCAUUUUGAUGGAUGGGAUGAUAUAUAUGAUUACUGGGCUGAUCCAACAUCUCCAUACAUCCAUCCUGUAAACUGGUGCAAAGAAACAGGAAAUGUACUUAUUCCACCCAAUAAUUACAGAGAUCCUGACAGAUUUACAUGGGAAAAAUAUUUAUCAGAAACAAAAGCUCAAGUUGUUCCCAAUCGAGCCUUUAAACGACGCCCACCACAUGGUUUUAAAAAAGAUAUGAAACUAGAAGUGGUAGAUAAAAGAAAUCCCAUGUUAAUUCGUGUUGCUACUAUUGCUGAUACUCAAUCUCAUGCUAUUAAAAUUCAUUUUGAUGGUUGGUCAGAUGCUUAUGAUUAUUGGUUAGAUGAUGAUUCACCAGAUAUUCACCCAGUUUCUUGGUGUACUAGAACUGGUCAUCCUCUUCAGCCUCCUAUAAGUGAAAUGACAAUAACUAAUUCUAGUGGAUGCCCAACAACUGGUUGUCAAGGUAUUGGACAUAUAAAAGGUCCUAAAUAUACCAGUCAUCACAGGGAAUGGACUCUAGCAGACGAAAAACCCUUAAUCAGCACCAAUUAUUCAAUCACUUUACACUCUGACCAGAAGGUGUGAAGACUAACCAGUUGUGGGAUGCAAUUUUAUAUAUUAUUCCAAUGUUGUUAUGAAAUUAUACAGUUGGAAAGUAUUUAGAUAGAUGUUGAGGUUUUACAUAACUCAAUCCAAAAACUCGAUAACUGAAACAAAAGAAAAAAAACAAUUUCAUUUGGAUGUCCUUACUCACAACUUAAUAUGAACAAAGAAACGGCACUUCAAGAUAGGCUUGGUCCAUCAAAGGCAUCAGUAAUAGAUAUUGCAAAGAGA